GACGAACGCUGGCGGCGUGCUUAACACAUGCAAGUCGAACGGAAAGGCCCUGCUUGCCGGGUACUCGAGUGGCGAACGGGUGAGUAACACGUGGGUGAUCUGCCCUGCUCUUCGGGAUAAGCUUGGGAAACUGGGUCUAAUACCGGAUAGGACCGCACUUUAGCGUGUGUGGUGGAAAGUUUUUUCGGUGUAGGAUGAGCUCGCGGCCUAUCAGCUUGUUGGUGGGGUAAUGGCCUACCAUGGCGGCGACGGGUAGCCGACCUGAGAGGGUGUACGGCCACAUUGGGACUGAGGGACGGCCCAGACGCCUACGGGAGGCAGCAGUGGGGAAUAUUGCACAAUGGGCGCAAGCCUGAUGCAGCGACGCCGCGUGGGGGAUGAAGGCCUUCGGGUUGUAAACUCCUUUCGCUAGGGACGAAGCUGUUUGUGACGGUACCUAGAUAAGAAGCACCGGCUAACUACGU
rnacentral:rRNA from 1 species